UGGAUACAUAUCAGAGUAUAGCUAAGAAGUAUAGCAUCUCCCUUACACUGAGAAGU
rnacentral:tRNA from 1 species